rnacentral:misc_RNA from 1 species
GUAGGUGAACCUGCGGAAGGAUCAUUACCUUUCAAUGCAGAAGAGUUGAGGUGGUUGAGUAUCUCGCCCCUCAAUUCUCGCUGUAUUUUACCCUUGUUUUUCUCAUACUAUUAUUUCCUCGGCAGGCCAGCCUGCCGGGUGAAACAACUUCAAACCUGUUUAAUUUUCAAUCAGCGUCUGAACAAAUUAAUAAUUACAACUUUCAACAACGGAUCUCUUGGUUCUG